rnacentral:lncRNA from 1 species
UGUGCGAAUCUCUCGCCAAUCACGGGUCAAAUCACUGCCAUAUUAGGGAAAUAACCUCACGAAGGACGAAAUCAGAUGAGUGCUCGUCAAGAAGUUUGAAGAGACCCUGACAACGGGAACACUAAUAUAGUACUCCCAUUUAUCUGAAAAUUCUAUUAGUACUUUUGCUGAACUUGCAGAUGCUUCCAUCAAGGCGUACUCUGGAGCCUAAAAGGUGAAAAACCAAGUGGAGGAUUAUUCAUAGUCAUGCAGGGAAAAACAUAAUCGCUCCGAGAUUUCAUACCUUGAUUUUUGAGGGAGACAAUGAUGCUUCCUGAAGUACCAGACAAUUGCGCCGUUGUGGCUUUUACACGACAUCAUAACCUGAGCAACUCCAAAGCUUCAAAGUAACUAAAAGAAAACUUACAAGAAUUCCCUGCCAAAACAUGAAAUAAUGUAUAUCACAAGUACAACACUAAGCUCUGAAAAGAGGAUAACAUCUCGGUACUAUCAGGAUUUGAAGCCAAAGAGCCAGUGGGAUAUAGCCAUCGGAACAAAUCAUUUUUUGAGAUAGGAUGAGCCCAGGUAUUGAGAUUCUAGAUCUCGGUAUGAACCUUAUUCUAGUCCCAUGCACCGGAAGAAUGACAAAAGGCCCAAAUCGAGUCGUGACGAUAGAAAUCUCGGACGGAAGAAUGAUAAAGUGCCUCAUCAAUUAGAAAAAGAAAUAGAAACAUCAAAAAUCGGUGAUUAUCAUCUCCGACCAAAGUUGGCCGACUACAAAUUCAAUGUCAGCACCACUGAUCUGGUGGUGAUGCUCAGGCAAAUGGGGGAAAUAGUAAGAUGGCAAAAGGAGAUGAGAAUGGACCCAUAUAAGCAUAUACACAAAUUCUGGUGCGAGUUCCAGAGUGACCAUUACUACAAAACCUUUGUCACACAAGCUCUCAAAGGUAUCCAUCACCUAUGAGAAGCGACCUGACAGAUCCUCGCCAGAUAAGAAAUUACAUUCAAUGAUGAGGACGUAGAUAGACAGCUCGCGCCAUACAAUGACAGAAUGGUAAUUACUAUAUGAAUUGUUGAUAGUGAUAUUAGACAUGCUUUAGUUGACCCAUGUAGAUCGUCCAAUAUCAUUAAAAUACGAGUAAUCAAGGAGAUGAAGACUAAGGAUUGGAUUAUCCCAAAAACACUACUACUCUCCGGAUACAAUAACUCUAGUAAAAUAACUAAAGGAGAGAACACCUUGAGGACCUUCACAGAAGGGGUAACUAGAGAUACUCCAUUACAAGUCGUGGUAGGGGACAUGGCCUACAACGCCAUAUUGGGAAGACCAUGGAUACAUGACAUGGAUGCGGUACCUUCAAUCUUGCACCAUGUUAUAAAAUUCACUUUAUCAUGGGGAUAGAGAGAUCUAAGGAGAGCAAAGAACAACCUGGAAGUUAAUUCAAUCACAGCCGCCAGUAUAUUUCCUAAAGGGGAGGAAUAUAAACCUGUGACAGUGCAAGUCAAAUUAGUUUUCGGAAAUCGAAUCGUUGAGUCAGAAAAAACAAGCACUGGCAUUUCAACCAUUAAACACAUGAAUAAGUAAUCUUAUUCAUCCAUGGGAUAGUUGGGAGGUCUAUAGUUGUUCGUCACUUACCCCCGAAUAGAAGCAUAAGUUAAUUGAAUCUUUACGUGAUAACUUUAUUUUUUUUGCUUAGUUUCAUACAAACUAUGGGCUACACUUCUAUCUUUGCCUUUUUGCUGGAAGAAGCUUUAACAGCUUUCUUCCUCUUGCCUUGGGCGGACUCUGCUGCUUCAACAGAGGACCUUAGUUCCAAAUAGGACAAAACCUCUACAACUGGAGCAACAUGAUUAACCUCUUGUUUAUCUAUGGAGUUUUUAAAAAUAAAGAGAGACAAACACAGAGGAAAUGAAAUUAUAGAGAAGAAAAAAUCAAAGAAGACAUUGAGAAAAGAUAAAACCAACGAUGCCAAUUGUGUAUAUUUAUAGGCAAAGGGCAAAGACAAGAAUCUCUAGACAAUCGAGCUAGCACCAAUCACUAAGAGCACCCAUCAUUGCCUAGAAAACUGCCACAGGCAAAGCCUGUGAUAUUUUGCGAUGUGUCAAGAGCAUUCAUUAGAGACUGAGCACAUCUCUCGUCAAUCACAUGUCAAAUCACCACCACAUUAGGCAUACGAAAGAGAAAUCUUUCCUGAUAGUGAUGCCUUUCAAGAUUUUUCCUAUUAGAAGUUUUCCCCUUAUUGGGUAAUUAUUAGGAAGCACUCAAAAAAUGGGGGGACUACGAUAUUGGUAGAACAAGCCUAUUUGAUGGCUAGAUCAAUGGUUUUAGUGCAACUAGCUCAAUUGAUGGAUAGAUCUUAACUUGUGUAGCUCGGCAGAAGACUAUUUAGAUAAAUUGCCAUAUGCAGAACUUAAGACUGGCGACUGUUCAAAAGAUCAUAGUCGGUAAUAGACUAUUUCGAUAAGUUGCCAUACCCGACACUUAAGACCAGGGACUGUUCAAAAGAUCACAGUUGUAAAUGAACUCUUUCAAUAAGUUACCAUACCUGACACUUAAGAUCGGGGAAUGUACAAAAGAUCACAGCCGGCAAUAGUCUUUUACCGUAUCCAGCAGUUAAGAUCGGGGGUUGUUCAAAAAAUUGCAAUCAGUUACGACUCUCAGAACAUUGGUUAUUGAUCCCUUCUUUAUUGUCGAUAUUUCAAAAUAACUCACACCCUAAAAUAAAGAGGAGAUGGCCAC